rnacentral:lncRNA from 1 species
CUAUUUUGUAAACUACCCCUGUGUAGUUGGAGAAGAUUUAUUCUGCAAUUGUUGGAUAUAGUGUUUUAUAAAUAUUAAUGAUGUCAAGUUGGAUAAAAAUGUUGUUCAAACAGUCUUCUGUUUACUCAUUUUUUCCUGCUUGUUCUAUCAAUUACUGAGAGAGAUUUACCAGUCUCCUACUAGGAUUACAGAUUUUUCUAUUCAUCCUUUUAGUUCUGCCAACUUCUGCUUCAUCUAUUAUGAGGUUUUGUUUUUAGGUGUACACAUAUUUAGGACCGUUUUCCUAAUGAGAUCACUAUUUGAUUAUUAUGAGUGUCUUUAUUUUUGGUAAUAUUCAUUGACUAGGGGGUGUUUUUUCCAUAACAGUAAUAUUUUACUUUUCUAAUUGCAAUAGUAAUACUGUAUUUCUCAUCAUUGGUAUUUGCACAAGUAUUUUUCCAUCCUUUUACUUUAAACCUAUCUGAUCUUAUUUUUAAAGUACAUCCUUGCAAACAGCAUACGGUUGAGUCUUAUUUUCUUGAUCCAGGCUGAGACUGUAAGAAAUUCAUUUAAUAUCUGGUAUAUUCAAUUUUAAAAUAAACUUUUGGAAUAACUUUAGAUUUACAGAAAAGUUGCAAAAAUACAACAGGAGAAUCCUAAAUACUUCUUACUAGUUUUCUCUAUGUUAAUACUUUAUAUAAGCGUAGUACAUUUAUCAAAACUAAAAAAACAUUGUCACUUUACCAUUACAUAAAAUCCAGACAUUAUUUGGAUGUCACCAGUUUUUCCAUUAAUGUCAUUUUUCUGUUCCAAGAUCCAAUCCAGGAUUCCACGUGGCAUUUUUUAUUCCAUCUAUUAUUUCACCAUUUACUUUUAAUGCAAUUUUGUGUUUGCAAUUUUGCUUUUCUUCUUAAAGAUCACCCCUCCCAAAUUGUACAAACUUCUCGUUAGAUCUACCCUACUUUUGAUAGAUGUCUAAUUUUGUUUCUACCAUAAUAAUUUUUAAUGCCCUCCCUCCACCCAAACACAGAGAAAAAGACAGACAGAAUUGUGUGUGUGUGGUUUCUUUUGUUUUCUAAUUCUUGUUACAUAAACUAUUGUUAUUUUCUUUCAUCUUUCUCCAGUGAUCUUUAGAGCAUAUAUAUUAUUUUAGAUUCCACUACUGGUUAUCAUUUACUUUUAAAAAAAUUUUAUAUUUGAAUCUAUAUUUUUUAAAUUAGCUAAGACCCAAAUAAACAGUUUAUUUGGACUACCCUUACGUAUGAUUAGGAAUUCA